UAACUGACGCUGAGGAGGCGAAAGGGGUGGGGGAGCAAACAGGCUUAGAUACCUGGUAGUCCACCCCGUAAACGUUGGGAACUAGUUGUGGGGUCCUUUCCACGGAUUCCGUGACGCAGCUAACGCAUUAAGUUCCCCGCCUGGGGAGUACGGCCGCAAGGCUAAAACUCAAAGGAAUUGACGGGGACCCGCACAAGCGGCGGAGCAUGCGGAUUAAUUCGAUGCAACGCGAAGAACCUUACCAAGGCUUGACAUACACGAGAACGGGCCAGAAAUGGUCAACUCUUUGGACACUCGUGAACAGGUGGUGCAUGGUUGUCAUCAGCUCGUGUCGUGAGAUGUUGGGUUAAGUCCCGCAACGAGCGCAACCCUCGUUCUAUGUUGCCAGCACGUAAUGGUGGGAACUCAUGGGAUACUGCCGGGGUCAACUCGGAGGAAGGUGGGGAUGACGUCAAAUCAUCAUGCCCCUUAUGUCUUGGGCUUCACGCAUGCUACAAUGGCCGGUACAAUGGGCUGCAAUACCGUGAGGUGGAGCGAAUCCCAAAAAGCCGGUCCCAGUUCGGAUUGAGGUCUGCAACUCGACCUCAUGAAGUCGGAGUCGCUAGUAAUCGCAGAUCAGCAACGCUGCGGUGAAUACGUUCCCGGGUCUUGUACACACCGCCCGUCAAGUCG
rnacentral:rRNA from 1 species